AAAUAAGAAGUGAAAAAAUCACAACCAAUUUCGACUUGGCCUUUGAAUUAUAUCCUUAUUUU
rnacentral:tRNA from 1 species